AGAGCUAGCUGCGGGGCUGGGGAAUCCGCGGCCACCGCCUCUAAUCCGCCCUUAAGUAGUCUCCGCCUGCGUCACGCCAGGUCGGCGGAGGGGAGCAGAGCGCGGCGUGCCGCUGUCGCCGAGCGUCGGAGCCCGAGGGGCCGCGGCCGCGCGCCGCGGGGGGAGGAGACGGUCUGGAGUCCCCCCGCUGCGCCGGGGUUGGGGAGACGGAGGACUGCAGCGCCCCUUGGGGCUUCUGAGGCGCCCAGGUAACCUCACCUGGCCGCCAGUCUCCCGCAGGAGGAACAGACACGUUGGUUCCACACCGAACCUAUUAACAGCUCAACUUCAAAUAUUUGGCAGAGGUGGGAUUGCUGUUCACUAAGUGGUAUGCUUUAGUGUGGAUCAACUGCUUUAUCAUUGGAGCUAGAGACAGUAGCCUGUCUCUGUAAAAAGCAAACCCCGCUUGCCUCUGUCCGGGGCCAGCCUGCAGUCGCUUUGGAUGGUUGGCUUCUCUUCACCAGCCUGUUCUGCCUUUUGCCACAUGGACCCUGACUGAUCUGACUUGCUGAUAUUUUGCUCCUUCUCUUGUUCUCUACUUCUUUGCUCUUCUUUCUUGGAAAUUUCCUCAUUUUUUUCUUCUACUUUUGUUGCAUUCAUUUUUUUUUUCUGUAAUCAUACUGUUAACUUCUAAGAAUUUAUUUGCACUG
rnacentral:lncRNA from 1 species